rnacentral:rRNA from 1 species
GCCCAGAUGGGAUUAGCUUGUUGGUGAGGUAACGGCUCACCAAGGCGACGAUCCCUAGCUGGUCUGAGAGGAUGACCAGCCACACUGGAACUGAGACACGGUCCAGACUCCUACGGGAGGCAGCAGUGGGGAAUAUUGCACAAUGGGCGCAAGCCUGAUGCAGCCAUGCCGCGUGUAUGAAGAAGGCCUUCGGGUUGUAAAGUACUUUCAGCGGGGAGGAAGGUGUUGUGGUUAAUAACCGCAGCAAUUGACGUUACCCGCAGAAGAAGCACCGGCUAACUCCGUGCCAGCAGCCGCGGUAAUACGGAGGGUGCAAGCGUUAAUCGGAAUUACUGGGCGUAAAGCGCACGCAGGCGGUCUGUCAAGUCGGAUGUGAAAUCCCCGGGCUCAACCUGGGAACUGCAUUCGAAACUGGCAGGCUUGAGUCUUGUAGAGGGGGGUAGAAUUCCAGGUGUAGCGGUGAAAUGCGUAGAGAUCUGGAGGAAUACCGGUGGCGAAGGCGGCCCCCUGGACAAAGACUGACGCUCAGGUGCGAAAGCGUGGGGAGCAAACAGGAUUAGAUACCCUGGUAGUCCACGCCGUAAACGAUGUCUACUUGGAGGUUGUGCCCUUGAGGCGUGGCUUCCGGAGCUAACGCGUUAAGUAGACCGCCUGGGGAGUACGGCCGCAAGGUUAAAACUCAAAUGAAUUGACGGGGGCCCGCACAAGCGGUGGAGCAUGUGGUUUAAUUCGAUGCAACGCGAAGAACCUUACCUGGUCUUGACAUCCACAGAAGAAUCCAGAGAUGGAUUUGUGCCUUCGGGAACUGUGAGACAGGUGCUGCAUGGCUGUCGUCAGCUCGUGUUGUGAAAUGUUGGGUUAAGUCCCGCAACGAGCGCAACCCUUAUCCUUUGUUGCCAGCGGUUAGGCCGGGAACUCAAAGGAGACUGCCAGUGAUAAACUGGAGG